rnacentral:rRNA from 1 species
UACGGAGGGUGCAAGCGUUAUCCGGAUUUACUGGGUUUAAAGGGUGCGCAGGCGGAUAUGUAAGUCAGUGGUGAAAAUCUUUGGGCUUAACCCGAAAAUUGCCAUUGAUACUAUAUAUCUUGAAUGCUGUGGAGGUAAGCGGAAUAUGUCAUGUAGCGGUGAAAUGCUUAGAGAUGACAUAGAACACCUAUUGCGAAGGCAGCUUACUACGCAGAUAUUGACGCUCAUGCACGAAAGCGUGGGGAUCAAACAGGA